AGUUCUUGUUGGACAGGCUAGACCCCAGCACUAUGGUGAUCAAUAUUUCCAAAGACAAGGGAAUCCAUGUCACCCCGUACGCCGUCAUGCAAGUGCUUGGUUUACCAGACAGUGGUGAACAUCUACAUUUCCAUUCACACAACCAAGCAUCUAGGGAGUUCUCUGCUUUCAAGGUUUGGGUUGGUCUAGAAGAAUCCCAAGACAUGCAUGCUAGCCAUCUCCAAAAUAUUUUGGAGGAUGAUUCUAAUAUGGGAUCUGCCAUGAUUGAUGAUGACAUGGCAAUAAGAUUUUUCUUCAUCAUUGCUUGUAACAAACUGCUUUUCCCAAGCACAGACAACAACAUCAGGUGCAAGGAUGUUUACUUGACUAGGGACCUGACUUGCUUACCAGGGUUGAACUGGUGCAAAGCAGUUGUGGAUGACCUUCAAGAUGUUGCAUUCACUUGGCGGGCUGACAGAACAAAGAAAUCGCUCUCAGGAUGUGCAAUAUUUCUCAUUAUACUGUAUCUUGACAACCUCCAAUGCAAAUAUCAGAUUGCACACACUGAAACUCCUCGCGCAAAGUACUUUGAUCAAAAUGUUAUUAAGAAGAUAAUUACUGCUGACAGGAUGAAAGACCGACAAGGGAAGGCUACAUUUGGGCUAUUACCGCUUAGGAACAGCAUCAAUACUUGCUACCAUAGGACUCAGCACUCAUCUUCAGAAGUCCCAGUAAACAUUGACCCAUUGGCCGCAACACAUUUCUCCAGUAUGCAAGCAGAAGUGCAUAGUUUAGUUGCUCAGAUUGGUACCAGUUCAAGGAAGAUGCAGGCAAUGCUGGUCUUGGCAAAUUUUGAAGCUAAAUCUAAGAAAGCAUCAAGUUAUAUGAACAUCGGCCAACAGAUACUACGGGAUGCACAUCAGGCAGCCGUUCACACUCUGCGAACAAUUUUGCAUGAUGAGGUGAAUGGCAACAUCAAUCAACAACAUCAUGACCAGACCCAUGCUUGUGAUGAAGCUCAAGCCGAUGACAUUGACAUGCAUGAUAACAAUAGUCUGGAAAACAGAGGGUCUGAACAUGUAUCUGACAUGCCAAUUAGUCGAUCUGAAGUAAGGGGAAGUGAGCUGUCUUCUGGUAAGUCACAUGACAACUGGUGGUCACACAAACCAGGAUUUCAAUCAGGCUGCAACUGCAGAAUUUCAACAAAACAGGACCAAAGAACAAGUUUUACCACCCGUCGACAGCAUGCACAAUGCCGCCACUGCUAGUUUCUAUUUUCCCGGUGGGAAUAUUGAGGUUGGCAAUGAAACUGAAGGUGAAUUUUCACCCGUCUGUACUCAGGUUCCCACAGAUGUUACUAUUGAUCGUGUCGUGCCUCUUCGAGCGGCUGAAGGAGAUACUGGACCAUCCUUGCCCAUCGGCAGCACUCAUGAUAAUGUCCACGAAGCAACUUCACAUGUGGAUUCCCUAGUUGGAGUCACUGAUGCAUAUACCACUGUUACCAGCCCCCGACAAGUUGCAACGGCUGAAAUGACUAGAUCAGAAGCGAAUGUCAUUGCACAAACUGCCAAACAAGUGCCAGAUGAGUCGGCAGGAAUCAUUAGUAGCAUCGAUGAUGCACUCGGCCCUAUUCUUUUCCGGCCUUGCACUCCAGGUGACAUCCCCCACUGCCCAGCUAUUAAUCCUAGGCCACAACGGCUUACAAAAAGACCCGCCAUGUAUGUGUCACCAUUCAAAGGUGAUCCACAACGAGCAAAAGUUCCAUUGUCCAAGGCACUUGCUGUGAGAAAGAAGUUCAAAUGUAGAAUGACGUGUUUAAGGUACUGUUUAUGAUCAUACUCUCAAAUAUUACAUGC